GCCUACGGGGGGCAGCAGUAGGGAAUCUUCCACAAUGGGCGAAAGCCUGAUGGAGCAACGCCGCGUGGGUGAAGAAGGUCUUCGGAUCGUAAAACCCUGUUGUUAGAGAAGAAAGUGCGUGAGAGUAACUGUUCACGUUUCGACGGUAUCUAGCCAGAAAGCCACGGCUAACUACGUGCCAGCAGCCGCGGUAAUACGUAGGUGGCAAGCGUUAUCCGGAUUUAUUGGGCGUAAAGGGAACGCAGGCGGUCUUUUAAGUCUGAUGUGAAAGCCUUCGGCUUAACCGGAGUAGUGCAUUGGAAACU
rnacentral:rRNA from 1 species